GACGGACGCUGGCGGCGUGCUUAACACAUGCAAGUCGAACGGAAAGGCCCCAGCUUGCUGGGGUACUCGAGUGGCGAACGGGUGAGUAACACGUGGGUGAUCUGCCCUGCACUCUGGGAUAAGCCUGGGAAACUGGGUCUAAUACCGGAUAGGACCGUGCUUUAGUGUGUGCGGUGGAAAGUUUUUCGGUGCAGGAUGAGCCCGUGGCCUAUCAGCUUGUUGGUGGGGUAAUGGCCUACCAAGGCGGCGACGGGUAGCCGGCCUGAGAGGGUGUACGGCCACAUUGGGACUGAGACACGGCCCAGACUCCUACGGGAGGCAGCAGUGGGGAAUAUUGCACAAUGGGCGCAAGCCUGAUGCAGCGACGCCGCGUGGGGGAUGACGGCCUUCGGGUUGUAAACCCCUUUCGGCAGGGACGAAGCUUUUGUGACGGUACCUGCAUAAGAAGCACCGGCUAACUACGUG
rnacentral:rRNA from 1 species